rnacentral:rRNA from 1 species
GACGAACGCUGGCGGCGUGCCUAAUACAUGCAAGUAGGACGCAGUUGCGAACGGGUGAGUAACGCGUAGGGAACUACAUAUUAGAGGGGGCUGACUAUUGGAAACGAUAGCUAAUACCGCAUACUAGUAGAUGGACCUGCGGUGUAUUAGGUAGUAGGUAGGGUAAAGGCCUACCUAGGCAACGAUACAUAGCCUACCGGUGAGGGUGAUCGGCCACACUGGGACGGAGACACGGCCCAGACUCCUACGGGAGGCAGGAGUAGGGAAUCUUCGGCAAUGGGGGGAACCCUUACCGAGCAACGCCGCGUGAGUUAAGAAGGUUUUCGGAUCGUAAAGCUCUUUUGUUAAGGAAGCGGUACUUAACCAGAAAGGGACGGCUAACUACGUGCCAGCAGCCGCGGUAAUAC